UACGUAGGGGCCAAGCGUUGUCCGGAAUUAUUGGGCGUAAAGAGCUCGUAGGCGGCCCAUCAAGUCGGAUGUGAAAUCUCAAGGCUCAACCUUGAAAUUGCAUCCGAUACUGACGGGCUUGAGGCAGGUAGGGGAAAGCGGAAUUCCUGGUGUAGCGGUGAAAUGCGCAGAUAUCAGGAGGAACACCGGUGGCGAAGGCGGCUUUCUGGGCCUGUACUGACGCUGAGGAGCGAAAGCGUGGGGAGCAAACAGGAUUAGAUACCCCGGUAGUCC
rnacentral:rRNA from 1 species